rnacentral:tRNA from 1 species
GCGCACGUCCCUGGCACGCCGGUCGCGCUUUCAAGCCGCAGGCCGCGGGUUCGAUUCCCGCCGGGCGCA